GGAGUUUUUAUUCCUUGGAGACACAUUGAUGGUGUGCCAAUGGGAUGCUGAUAUUGAGAGGAAAAGGCAGAAACGAUUUCUGCUCUCUGGAUUCCACCCCAGAGAGGAUGUGCAAGAACCUGAAUAUUAAAAUGCACUUAAGGCACACAGGAGGACAAAGAGCAGUGCCAGUGCCUCCUAGGUGGUCACUGAGUACUUUACUGAACAGGAUGGGUGUCCCGAGGGAUAGAAUGGCCUGCCGUGACACUUAGAAAGGACUCCGUGGCUUUUGAGGAUGUGGCUGUGAACUUUACUCAGGAGGAAUGGUUUUUGCUAGAUUCUUCUCAGAAGAAUCUCUACAGAGAAGUGAUGCAGGAAACCUGCAGGAACCUGGCUUCUGUAGGAAACAAAUGGAAAGACCAGAAUAUUGAAGAUCACUUCGAAAAACCUGGGAAAGAUAUAAGAUAAUUUGCACUGAGAAGAGGAAAUAAAGUCCUCUGAAGGAAUCUCAGCAUGGAAGCGUUCAUACUGGAGAGAGACCCUGUGAAUGUAAACAAUGUGGCAAAGCCUUUAGUCAUUUGAGUUCCCUUUGUAACCAUAGAAGUACUGAUACUGGAGAGAAACCCUAUGAAUGUAAACAAUGUGGCCAAGUCUUCAGUUGCCUCAGUUCCCUUCACCUCCAUGAAAGAAUUCAUAUUGCAGAAAAACCCUAUGAAUGUAAGAGAUGCGGUAAAGCCUACACUCCUUCCAGUCACCUUACUCGCCAUGAAAGAAGUCAUGAUAUAGAGGCUGGGUGUAGUGACUCAGCCUAUAAUCCCAGCACUUUGGGAG